AGCGUAUGAUGAGCUCUGGUUGAAUUGACGUCAUUUAUCUCAGACUCAACCCAAUACUUCUCCCUCCCAUUGUAAUCUUGGUGAUAGUUGUUUUCUAGACUUUCACCGUAAGGCCGAUGGGACAGUGUUGACACACUCAUUAGUUUUAGUUGUGCUAAAAGAAAUUAGUACUUCACCUAUGAAGUGUCAAACAGGCUUUAAAUUCUGGGUGUAAGUGGGCAGGGUUUCAUUUUUUGCUAAUGGGAGACAUUGGGUAUGAUAUCUGACUCUUCAGCUUGCAAGGAUUCUACUUUAGUAAUCUGAAGCUC